rnacentral:rRNA from 1 species
UGGCGUACGGGUGAGUAACACGUGGAUCAUCUACCUUCUAGUGGGGAAUACCCCUGGGAAACUGGGGACAAUACCGCAUAAGCUCGUAAGAGGAAAGCAGCAAUGCGCUGGAAGAGGAGUCCGCGGCUGAUUAGCUAGUUGGCGGGGUAAUGGCCCACCAAGGCGAAGAUCGGUAGCCGGCCUGAGAGGGCACACGGCCACACUGGCACUGAAACACGGGCCAG